GACGAACGCUGGCGGCGCGCUUAACACAUGCAAGUCGAGCGAAGCGGCGGACGGGUGAGUAACACGUGAGUAACCUGCCUUGGACAUUGGGAUAGCCUCGGGAAACCGGGAUUAAUACCAAAUGGUCUAAGAUGGACUCGCGUCCCAUUAGCUAGUUGGUGGGUAACGGCCCACCAAGGCGACGAGGGGUAGUCGGCCUGGAGGGGGGAACGGCAACAUUGGAACUGGGAAACGGUCCAAACUCUACGGGGGGCAGCAGUGGGGAAUAUUGCACAAUGGGGGGAACUCUGAGGCAGCGACGCCGUGUGAACGAAGAAGGCUUUGGAGUCGUAAAGUUCUUUAUAUGGGAAGCGGUACCAUAAGAAAAAGCCCCGGCUAACUACGUGCCAGCCGCCGCGGUAAUUC
rnacentral:rRNA from 1 species